UGCCGGCAAUCUGCCUCGGAAUGUGAACAUUUUAGAAACAUUUGAUGAUAAUGUGCUUUUAAAAAGGUAUCGCCUUUGGUUUUGGAGGUUAUCGCAACUCCAAAUUUUCCUUUUGAUUAUAUCCUUGUUUUCAUUAACCAGUUGGGCAAGAAGUAACAGCUGUUCUUGCAUCCAGUUUUCUUUUUUGUUUGCAUGUCUUACUAUCAGCCAUGAUUAUUCUACUCUGUUAAUUAAAAGGCUGUUUAUAUGCAUAUUCACUAAUUUUUCUUUUACGAGAAGCAUACAGGCUGACAAUUAGCUGAACAUAUACUUGUUUAAUUAGUGACACUUAGCCUGCAUUUUAAAAUCUUUAUUUGAAUGUGGCAAUUAACAUUUUUAUUUUUAUUUGAAUACAGUAACAUAUUGCACUCUACGAUAUUUCUAUGAAUAAAUCUCUGACAGAGACUAUCAGCCAAUCACUGUGUGCAUAGUCAGUAAGCAUGCUGACACCAUCCAUAGCAACGAGGUCAACCCCGCCCCUUACUCUGAGCUUAAAACUUCUCUCUAUUCCUUAGUAAGAGUUUGUCUCAGCAGCGUUGUGAAUAGGUUUUAAGAGAAAACUCUUAACUAAAAGCUUUUACUGCUAUUUAGGAGAACUCUUAGUGCUAAGAUAAAAUGUUUUGUGAAUACGGGCCCAGAUGGUGGAAGGCAUGUAGUAGAUUGUGAACAACAGGUUUUUAGGCAAAGUUUUGAUUAUAUUGAUUUAGAGGCCUAAGAAAUUUGUGUAUAGGAUUUAAGCAGCACUAAAGCACUGCAAGGUGAUCUACUGGUUUGUCAGCAUGUAAUUACGUCAUAGUGAUAAGAAAUGGAUGGAUUCUGUCUUACCAUUGCUGCCACAUGAUCUACCAUGUUUGUGUGUCGGUUCAUUAUAAGCUGAAGGCCAUGCCACUGGCACUUCUCAGGGCUAUUUUUCCCUUUCCCUGUUAUAAGUCUGUUACUUCUUGCCACUGUACAUAGCCAUUUGUACAAUAUGAUGAUAUUAGUUUGUAAAACAAUAUAGUAAAAUGUGCUGUUUCUAAAAUAAUUGUACACUGUUUCUAUAAUUGUACACUAUUUCUGUAAUUUCCACAGUUAUUUACUGUAUAUCACCCAGUGUAAUACUGCAAAUUCCCUUUACAGUAAGUAACUGUAAUACCCUUUUCAUCAUGGGAAUUUUCUGUGAGGCAUACAGAGACUUAUAUACUACUGUAACGGUCUCUUUGGCGCCAUUAUACCGAGGUCUUUUAUUUUCCUAAUUUCUUACAUUUGGAUUGACACAAUUUGCCCUACAACGUGUUUACAACGCCGCAACAGCUUGGGACUGACUACACAGGAGGUGUUACAUCGCUUCUAAUGAUUGGAAAAUCCGUUUGUAUUUCGUGUCAGAAACAGCGCCAGCGCUUGGAGUACAUCUGUACGUCAGAUAUAUGCCGGGGCCUCACUUUACUGUCCGCAUCCACUGCAGAUAAUAUAUAUAAUGGGUUCUAUUUUGUUGUCUGUUGUCGAGUUGCGCCGCGGCGCGCCACUCGUGUCCGAGGAAGACACGGAUUCAGCGGGGAAGCGCCGCGGGGAUGAGCCCGCGAGAGUGGAAGAGCUCCGGAGAACAUCUGCGCUGUGUGUCGAUGCACCUUACGAGAGAAUAAGCAAGGCAACUGCAAUGAAGCAUCAAGAAAGACAUGAGCAGGCCAGCCACCCUGAGACUGAUAAUUCAUGAGUGGAUGGUGAGCAAAGAUGGUGGCCACGUUUUGGAGCAGCACCUGGGUUUUGCAGAUGGCUAUGUAUUCUUUGGCUGUUUGUCUUUUUUCCCCAUUAUGUUUCUGUUGCCUAAAGAUUGUUUGUGAGGAUGAAUCCAGAGGACACAACAUAAUGCACUGCAAAACAUCCUAAGACAGGAGAAAUGGUGAAGAUGCACAG